CGCCGCUGCCUUGGAAACGCGGCGAGCGUGCUCCCCGGCGGAGCGGCCGUGCGGGGCCGGGCCUCGUGCAGGGGGAAGGGGCUGCUCCGGACCGCGAUGCUGUGCGCCCGAGGGCUGGGCGGCCUCCGCGCCCGGGCAGCGCCUCUGCGGCCGGGGCGAGCGGGCCUGGGCGGCCUCGGAGCCGGGAUUCGGGCCCGGGGGGUCAGCACCAGCUGGUCCCCGGUGGGCGCCGCCUUCAAUGUCAAGCCCCAGGGCCGCCGCCUGGAUCUCUUCGGCGAGCGCCGGGGUCUUUUUGGAGUUCCCGAGCUCAGUUCCCCAGAAGGAUUUCGUAUUGCCCAAGAAAAUGCCUUGAGAAAGACGGACUUGCUCGUGGAGCGUGCGCGCUGCACGCCCCCCGGGCCGCAGACCGUGCUCAUCUUUGACGAGCUCUCCGACUCCUUGUGCCGGGUGGCUGACUUGGCUGAUUUUGUGAAAAUUGCUCAUCCUGAGCCAGCAUUCAGAGAGGCGGCGGAAGAAGCUUGUAGAAGCAUUGGCACCGUGGUGGAGAAGUUGAACACAAAUGUGGAAUUGUAUCAAAGUUUGCAAAAAUUACUAGCUGAUGAAAAGCUCAUGGAUUCGCUUGAUCCAGAAACCAGGCGAGUGGCCGAACUGUUUAUGUUUGAUUUUGAAAUCAGUGGAAUCCAUCUAGACAAAGAAAAGCGUAAAAGAGCAGUGGACUUGAAUGUUAAAAUCUUGGAUUUGAGUAGUACAUUUCUCAUGGGAACCAACUUUCCUACCAAGAUUGAGAAGCAUCUUUUACCAGCACACAUUCAUCAUAACUUUGUAUUCACCGGAGAUCAUGUUAUGAUUGACGGUCUACAUGCAGAAGCACCAGAUGACUUGGUGCGAGAAGCUGCUUAUAAAAUCUUUCUUUAUCCGAAUGCCGAUCAGUUGAAAUGUUUGGAAGAACUGCUCAGCAGCAGAGACCUUCUGGCAAAGUUAGUAGGGUAUUCCACAUAUUCCCACAGAGCUCUCCAAGGAACCAUAGCUAAAAAUCCAGAGACUGUCAUGGAGUUCCUUGAGAAACUGUCUGACAAGCUUUCUGAAAGAACUGUAAAAGAUUUUGAGAUGAUACGAGGGAUGAAAAUGAAACUAAAUCCUCAAAAUUCUGAAUUAAUGCCUUGGGAUCCUCCUUACUACAGUGGUGUGAUUCGUGCAGAGAGGUAUAAUAUUGAGCCCAGUUUAUAUUGCCCAUUUUUCUCCCUUGGAGCAUGCAUGGAAGGCCUGAAUAUUUUGUUUAACAAACUGUUAGGGAUUUCGUUAUAUGCAGAGCAGCCUGCAAAAGGAGAGGUGUGGUGUGAAGAUGUUCGGAAACUGGCUGUCGUUCAUGAAUCUGAAGGAUUGCUGGGGUACAUUUACUGUGAUUUUUUUCAGCGAGCAGACAAACCACAUCAGGAUUGCCACUUUACAAUCCGUGGAGGCAGAUUAAAGGAAGAUGGAGACUAUCAACUCCCAGUUGUAGUUCUUAUGCUCAAUCUUCCUCAUUCCUCAAGGAAUUUACCAACUUUAUUAACUCCUGGAAUGAUGGAAAAUCUUUUCCAUGAAAUGGGACAUGCCAUGCAUUCUAUGCUGGGACGUACCCGUUAUCAACACGUCACUGGGACCAGGUGCCCCACUGACUUUGCUGAGGUUCCUUCUAUUCUGAUGGAGUACUUUGCAAAUGAUUAUCGAGUGGUUAACCAGUUUGCCAGGCAUUAUCAAACCGGCCAGUCACUGCCCAAAAAUAUGGUGUCUCGUCUUUGUGAAUCUAAAAAGGUUUGUGCUGCAGCUGAUAUGCAGCUUCAGGUCUUUUAUGCCACUCUGGAUCAAAUCUACCAUGGGAAGCAUCCCCUGAGGAAGUCAACCACUGACAUUCUCAAGGAAACACAGGAGAAGUUUUAUGGCUUACCAUACGUUCCAAAUACCGCCUGGCAGCUGCGGUUCAGCCACCUCGUGGGCUACGGUGCCAAAUACUACUCCUACCUGAUGUCCAGGGCAGUAGCUUCCAUGGUUUGGAAGGAAUGUUUUCUACAGGAUCCUUUUAACAGGGCGGCAGGAGAGCGCUACCGCAGGGAGAUGCUGGCGCACGGCGGGGGCAAGGAGCCCAUGCUCAUGGUUCAAGAUGAUGAAACAGGUCAGGUGCCCGCCCAUGUCAUGAGGCAGUGAGUAGAAGAGCCAGGAUUCGAACCUGUGACUUCUGGCAACAGAGACCAAGCUCUUCUGUAGUCUGUGCUGUUUCACGUUGGUGGUACAGGACACCCAGUUAAGGGUCUGUUAUAGACUCAGGUAUGCUUCAGAAGUGUCCUUCUGUUGAUGACUUUGUAAGUGCCCUCGUUUCUGACUUGGAUCUGGACUUCGAAACUUUCCUCAUGGAUUCCGAAUGAUGGAAACACCUCGAAUCUUUUAAAUCAAGGUCAUGUGGAUAUUAACUUUGUUGUAAAUACAGCUGUGAACACUCGUUCCUGAUUUCAAUAUUCACUUCUGUAAUAACUUCUGAAAAACCUUAAACUGAUAGAACUUGGAAUAAAUAAUUUGUUUUAAUUAUGCUG